UACGUAGGGUGCAAGCGUUGUCCGGAUUUAUUGGGCGUAAAGAGCUUGUAGGCGGCUUGUUGCGUCGGCUGUGAAAACCCGCGGCUUAACCGCGGGCUUGCAGUUGAUACGGGCAGGCUAGAGUUCGGUAGGGGAGACUGGAAUUCCUGGUGUAGCGGUGAAAUGCGCAGAUAUCAGGAGGAACACCGGUGGCGAAGGCGGGUCUCUGGGCCGAUACUGACGCUGAGGAGCGAAAGCGUGGGGAGCGAACAGG
rnacentral:rRNA from 1 species